rnacentral:piRNA from 1 species
UACCAGAAGGAAUAUCUGCUCUUGCCUCCGU